AUUGUAGGUUUAUAAAAAAAAAUCCCAAUUGUUCGGAGAAGAAAACCCUAAUCCCAAUUGUUAGCACUCUUUGCGAUUUCUAGUUUCUUCUUGAUUCCACAGGUUGCCCCCAUUUUCCUUUUCAACAAUCAAGAACUGUGAACCCUUUGUUGAGUUUUGCAAACAAUAACCUUAAUCUCUGCUUCAUUGCCAGGCACUAACUUUCCACAAGUAGGUGCAUUUGAGGUGCAUUUUGUGAGAUCAUCUGAAGGAUGGAUCGUAAAGGAAAAGGAUUUGGGAAGGGCAAUAGAGAACUUGGAGGUGCUCGUGAUCUCAUAAGUCAGUACAGGCUUUGGCCAUACUAUGAAAUCUUCUGCAAGAAGUCACUUCCAUUGUCAAUUUCAGAGACACCAUAUCUUCGCAAUGUGGUGGGUGACACAAAUAUCAGGAAGGGAGAAGGAAUGGAACUGAGUCAGCUCUGUCAAAACACCUACGUGAGUGAGAAAAAAGCUCGCUUACAUCCUUUUGAGUUGGAUGUACUCAGUGAAGCUUUCCAUAUGAAGGAGAGCAGAAUAAUUCAAACUGUCUUCAAACUUCAUGUUUGAUUGAUAUGUCAUGCUGAUAUGUUAUACACAUGACCAGAAGGGGCUACCAAGUUCAGUUCCAAAGUCGGAGAACCAAUCUAGGGAAAAAGAGAGGAAGAACAAGAAGAUCAAAGAUGAUAAUAAAAAGGAUGAGAAGUAUAAGGAGCACAAGCUACAUCAAGUAACAGAUGGUAUAGCAAACAACAGAAUUAAACACCAUGAUUCUCAUACAUUGCAAUUGAAGAAUCGGCAAGAAAAGAAAAGGAAGGCUGAGACAAGCAAUGAUCCUGUUUCCAAGCGAGUAAAUAUGAGACAAUGAAAGGCAGCAGAAGUAGAAGUUCAUAUUCUUCCAUGAGAAUGUGACAGGAAACUCUAUUUUGCGAUAUUUGACAUUUCACUAUUCUUUUGAUCCGUGAUUCUAUUACAUAUUCUGAAAGCCAUUUCGCUCGUGUUCUGAUUCUUGUGUUUGAGAAAAAACUUACUUGAAGGGCUAGUACUAUCAGAAUAUGGAUUGUCUUGGCACUAAUAGAAUUGUCUUCUGCGGAUAAUACAUGAAUUAGACAAAGAAUAUCAAACAAGCAUGUAACCAGGGCUUCACGCAAGCUAUGUAAAUUUCUCACCAUUGUAUAUUUGUACGAGAAUUAAUGUCUUAAAUAACCGUUUGUUCAUGAUAAUUAA